rnacentral:rRNA from 1 species
UACGGGAGGCAGCAGUGGGGAAUAUUGCACAAUGGGCGCAAGCCUGAUGCAGCCAUGCCGCGUGUAUGAAGAAGGCCUUCGGGUUGUAAAGUACUUUCAGUCGUGAGGAAGGUGUUAAGGUUAAUAACCUUAGCAAUUGACGUUAGCGACAGAAGAAGCACCGGCUAACUCCGUGCCAGCAGCCGCGGUAAUACGGAGGGUGCGAGCGUUAAUCGGAAUUACUGGGCGUAAAGGGCACGCAGGCGGUUAAUUAAGUUGGAUGUGAAAUCCCCGGGCUUAACCUGGGAAUGGCAUUCAAGACUGGUUAGCUAGAGUCUUGUAGAGGGGGUAGAAUUCCAUGUGUAGCGGUGAAAUGCGUAGAGAUGUGGAGGAAUACCGGUGGGCGAAGGCGGGCCCCUGGGACAAAGACUGACGCUCAUGUGCGAAAGCGUGGGGAGGCAAACAGGGAUUAGAUACC